CCGAUUCCUACGGGAGGCAGCAGUGGGGAAUUUUGGACAAUGGGCGCAAGCCUGAUCCAGCCAUGCCGCGUGAGUGAAGAAGGCCUUCGGGUUGUAAAGCUCUUUCGGCCGGGAAGAAAUCGCAUUGGUUAAUACCUGGUGUGGAUGACGGUACCGGAAUAAGAAGCACCGGCUAACUACGUGCCAGCAGCCGCGGUAAUACGUAGGGUGCGAGCGUUAAUCGGAAUUACUGGGCGUAAAGCGUGCGCAGGCGGUUUUGUAAGACAGGCGUGAAAUCCCCGGGCUCAACCUGGGAACUGCGCUUGUGACUGCAAGGCUAGAGUACGGCAGAGGGGGGUGGAAUUCCACGUGUAGCAGUGAAAUGCGUAGAGAUGUGGAGGAACACCAAUGGCGAAGGCAGCCCCCUGGGUCGAUACUGACGCUCAUGCACGAAAGCGUGGGUAGCAAACAGGAUUAGAUACCCUGGUAGUCCACGCCCUAAACGAUGUCAACUAGGUGUUGGGAGGGUAAAACCUUUUAGUACCGGAGCUAACGCGUGAAGUUGACCGCCUGGGGAGUACGGCCGCAAGGUUAAAACUCAAAGGAAUUGACGGGGACCCGCACAAGCGGUGGAUGAUGUGGAUUAAUUCGAUGCAACGCGAAAAACCUUACCUACCCUUGACAUGUCAGGAAGUCUUGAGAGAUUGAGAUGUGCCCGAAAGGGAACCUGAACACAGGUGCUGCAUGGCUGUCGUCAGCUCGUGUCGUGAGAUGUUGGGUUAAGUCCCGCARCGAGCGCAACCCUUGUCGUUAAUUGCCAUCAUUUAGUUGGGCACUUUAGCGAGGCUGCCGGUGACAAACCGGAGGAAGGUGGGGAUGACGUCAAGUCCUCAUGGCCCUUAUGGGUAGGGCUUCACACGUCAUACAAUGGUCGGUACAAAGGGUCGCCAACCCGCGAGGGGGAGCCAAUCCCAGAAAGCCGAUCGUAGUCCGGAUUGCAGGCUGCAACUCGCCUGCAUGAAGUCGGAAUCGCUAGUAAUCGUGGAUCAGCAUGUCACGGUGAAUACGUUCCCGGGCCUUGUACACA
rnacentral:rRNA from 1 species